UUGACGCUGAGGUUGGUACUUGUACCGACUGGAUGAGCAGCGAACGGGUGAGUAACGCGUGGGGAAUCUGCCUUUGAGCGGGGGACAACAUUUGGAAACGAAUGCUAAUACCGCAUAAAAACUUUAAACACAAGUUUUAAGUUUGAAAGAUGCAAUUGCAUCACUCAAAGAUGAUCCCGCGUUGUAUUAGCUAGUUGGUGAGGUAAAGGCUCACCAAGGCGAUGAUACAUAGCCGACCUGAGAGGGUGAUCGGCCACAUUGGGACUGAGACACGGCCCAAACUCCUACGGGAGGCAGCAGUAGGGAAUCUUCGGCAAUGGACGAAAGUCUGACCGAGCAACGCCGCGUGAGUGAAGAAGGUUUUCGGAUCGUAAAACUCUGUUGGUAGAGAAAACGUUGGUGAGAGUGGAAAGCUCAUCAAGUGACGGUAACUACCCAGAAAGGGACGGCUAACUACGUGCCAGCAGCCGCGGUAAUACGUAGGUCCCGAGCGUUGUCCGGAUUAUUGGGCGUAAGCNAGCGCAGGUGGUUAUUAAGUCUGGUGUAAAGGCAGUGGCUCANCCAU
rnacentral:rRNA from 1 species